rnacentral:rRNA from 1 species
CCCUACAUCAUCCUCCAMCCSCCGCCACUCUCAUCCAUAUCUCCACAAUUCMCCCUUAUSGUUUSAUCCUSGCUCASGGUUAAUSCUGGCGGUAUGCCUAAAACAUGCAAGUCGAGCGGUCUACACCAUGAAUCUUUGAAAUGAUUCUUUCGGGUUGAUUUUUAGAGAGAAUUGGAAUUUGUAGAUAGCGGCGGACGGGUGAGUAACGCGUUGGUACAUGCCCCUAACUCAGAAAUAACUCAUCGAAAGAUGUGCUAAUAUCGGAUAGUCCCAAUUUUUUAUUUUUAAUUGAUGAUUAUUAGUAAUAGUAAUAAUUGAUUAAAAAUAAAAUAUUGGGUAAAGGCUUUUUAAGUCGGUUAGGGAGUGGCCUGCGUCCUAUCAGUUAGUUGGUGAGGUAAUGGCUCACCAAGACUACGACGGGUAACUGGUCUGAGAGGAUGAUCAGUCACACUGGAAUUGAGAUACGGUCCAGACUCCUACGGGAGGCAGCAGUUAGGAAUCUUCCACAAUGGGCGAAAGCUKNAUGGAGCAAUACCGCGUGGGGGAUGAAGGUCGAAAGAUUGUAAACUCCUUUUCUAUUCUACUAAGAUCUGAAGGGAAUAAGAAUAAGUCACGGCUAAUUACGUGCCAGCAGCCGCGGUAAUACGUAAGUUGUAAGCAUUACCCGGAAUUACUGGGUGUAAAGCGUCUGUAGGUGUUUGUAAAAGUUAGAUAUUAAAUCUUAGAGCUCAACUUUAAGGCUGUAUCUAAAACUCUACAAAUAGAGAAUGUUAGAGGCAAGUGGAAUUCUKCAAGUAGGGAUUAAAUCCSUAGAUAUKCAGAGGAACACCAAAAGCGAAGGCAGCUUGCUAGGGCAUUUCUGACACUGAGAGACGAAACCGUGGGUAGCGAAAAGGAUUAGAUACCCUUGUAGUCCACGCCCUAAACGAUGGAUACUCGAUAUUGCUAUUUGAUUCGUUCGAUGGCAGUGUCUUUASUAACGCGUUAAGUAUCCCACCUGGGGAUUACGGUCGCAAGACUAAAACUCAAAGGAAUUGGCGGGGGCUCACACAAGCGGUGGAGUAUGGCGUUUAAUUCGUCAGUACGCGAGGAACCUUACCUGGGUUUGACAUCCUUGGAAUCUUUUGGAAACAUUAGAGUGCCUUUUUAAGGAGCCAAGUGACAGGUGAUGCAUGGUUGUCGUCAGCUCGUGUCGUGAGAUGUAUGGUUAGGYCCUAGAACGAGCGCAACCCUCAUCUUAUGUUGUAUAUUUCAUGAGAGACUGCCUUGGUUAACAGGGAGGAAGGAGAGGAUGACGUCAAAUCAGCAUGUCCCUUAUGUCCAGGGCUACAACCGUACUACAAUGGUUGGUACAAUGAGUUGCAAAACCGCGAGGUGGAGCUAAUCUUUAAAACCAAUCUCAGUCCGGAUCGGAGGCUGAAAUUCGCCUCCGUGAAGUUGGAAUCGCUAGUAAAUGCGAAUCAGCAAUGUCGCAUUGAAUGUGUUCCUGAGCCUUGCACACACCGCCCGUCACACCAUGGAAGUUAGGGGUAUCUGAAGUGCUAUUGUAUAGUACCACGGUAAAACUAAUGACUGGGGUGAAGUCGUAACAAGGUAGCCG